rnacentral:tRNA from 1 species
UUCUAAAAUGACAGAAAGAUGUGUAGGAUUUAAGCUCCUAUUAGGAAGAAACUUUUCUUCUUUUAGAAUC